CCACGGGGUCAAAGAAAGAAGAAAAAGAAAAAACAAGAACAAGACGAAUGGUGGUAGUGGCACGGAUUGUUCGAUUCUUUCAUUGGAUUCUUUUAUUGUGUUUCUUCAUUGGAUCUAUUAAUUU
rnacentral:RNase_P_RNA from 14 species